GUUGUCUUAGUGCAGUUGGCAGUGUGUCAGUCCCAUAAUCUGAAGGUCCUGAGUUCAAACCUCAGAGAGGGUA
rnacentral:tRNA from 1 species